GCGGACAUAGCUCAGUUGGUAGAGCGCAACCUUGCCAAGGUUGAGGUCGCGAGUUCGAGUCUCGUUGUCCGCUCCA
rnacentral:tRNA from 3 species